CACAACUUGGGUGGUGGAUAAAAACCAGCCUCACUCACUUCACAAAUGACACCAGUUUAGAAGGAACAACAGAUAUUGUGGAGAGUGGGGCUUUCUUCAGAGGCACUGCAGUAAGAUGGAAGAUUGACUGAUAUUAAAGCAAUUGAGAAGAACCAUCAAAACAUCAAUGAAUAAAACCUGCACUGGGAUUUGCUGUUCAUCCACUGGAGCCCCAUGGGAGCAAGUCAGAAGAAAACGUCAUGGUGAUUCUGUCUUCCCACCUAAAGAGAGGCUGCAGAGAAGACAAAGCACAGAGAGGAAACCGUCAUGCAUGGCAGCAAAAUAAACCUCUGCUGGAAGUAAGUGAAAACUCAUUGCCAGAAGGGUGGUUAAACACUGGAACAGCCCUCCCAGAGACAUUUGCUCAACCAAUUUGGACAAGGCCUCCCUGGAGUAACUGGACAUAACACUGAGGUGAGAUGAAGCUGAAGUAAGAGGACCUCCUCAUCUAAAAGGUUCUGCUAUUUUUCUGAUGUGCUUUGAAAUACAGAUUGUUGUAUUUUCUGAAAAAUCAGGCCAUAACA